GUUGCUUGUUACGCUUCCCCUUCGCAGUGCAACUGUAUGUCCCUAGACUUAUGAUUAUCAAUACCAGAUUUCAUCAGGUGUCACUGCAACUAAGGAACAGCAUUUCAUUGCCUGGAGAAAGGCAUACAGCCACCGAUGAGGAGCAAAAAGCAAACUUUACUCAAAGGUAACUCAAUGGCAUUUCUUCUCUCAGGCAAAUAUUGGAAACUGCUAAUUUUGUUUUCCACUUUCCUCGAGCGUAAGAGCCCCAGAAAUCCAGCAAGGCAUCAGUACCAAAUUUGUGCCAAAUUAUUUUGGGAUUUCAUCAGGUGUCACUGCAACUAAGGAACAGCAUUUCAUUGCCUGGAGAAAGGCAUACAGCCACCGAUGAGGAGCAAAGAGCAAACUUUACUCAAAGCAUAACAUCCCUGACAUUGCAGUCUUCCAGCAAGGCAUCACCUGCACUAUCACCUGGAGUUGAAUUUAUUCUAAUGUGCUUGACGUUAAACAUACCUUAUGACGGUACAUUUUGUUUGUUGAUAGUGUAACAAAGUCAAAG